AGUAGAUUUGAUUAAAAGUUUCUGCUGUGUUUUCAGUGAGAGAACGUUUUGUGAUGGUUGCUGUUUGUAUACGUGGGUUAAAAGAUAAAACACUGAUGAACACGUUUGGGUUUAGUGGUUGCUAAGAGAACAGUACAUGUCUGACUGCAUUGUGCCAAGUGUAAAGUUUGGUGGAGGGUGUUGGUUUUCAGAAGCUGGGCUUGGCCCUUUAGUUCCAGUUAAAAGAACUCUGAAUGCUUUAGCAUACCAAGACAUUUUGGAUAAUUCCAGGAUGCUAACUUUGUGGGAACAGUUUGGAGCUAGGCUGAACAUGAGUUGUGUACCAGAGCAUAAAGCAAGGUUCAUAAAGACAUGGAUGGCAGAGUCUGGUGUGGAUGAACUUGACUGACCUGCACAGAGUCCUGACCUCAACCCACUGGAACACCUUUGGGAAUGAAUUAGCAGGGGUCCCCAAAGUCGGUCCUCGAGGACCGGCAUCCUGCAUGUUUUAGUUCUCUCCCUGGUGGUACCGACAACCUUUACAGCAAGUCAAUGCUCUUCUUAGGCCUCUAACGAGCCAUCAUUUGAUCCAGGUGCGUUAAACCAGGGAGAGAACUAAAACAUGCAGGAUGCCGGUCCUCGAGGACCGACUUUGGGGAUCCCUGAAUUAGAGUGAGACUGAGAGCCAGGCCUUCUCGUCCAACAUCAGUAUGUGACCUCACAAAUACACUUUUGGAAGAAUGGUCAAAAAUUCCCAUAAACACAUUCCUAAAGCUUGUGGACAGCCGUCCCAGAAGAGUAGAAGCUGUUCUAGCUACAGUGAGUGAACCAACAUCAUAUUGAACCCUAUGGAUUAGGGAAUAGGAAUAGGGAACAGAUAUGAAUCAAGGCAGAUGAGGGAAUACUUUUGACAAUAUAGUGUAUGUUCUGCCCCUCAAGGAUAACCAGUAAACAAUUAAAAUAAAUAAAAUUCAGGAAGAUGAUAUUGUAAAAGAAAUAUACAGGUAAAUCCUACACAACAAACAAAAUAGAAUAAAUCUGUGAUUACACACCACACCUCUAAUUUUUUUUCAUCUAUAAGCCAUGCAGCGCUGAUUAUCUGUGUAUAUUUUAAAAUAUAUGCUCAAAAUAAAAAAUGUUAACAUUAAUUUAACGCUUACUUUAAAUUAUUAAUUUCAGUAUGUUUUAAAUUACAUCUCAGUGUAUAUUUUAGGCUAAUAAAGUAUGCCUUUUUAGGUGCCUUAAUAAUCUUUUACUAUUUUUGUUAAAAUGGCAAAGAAUAAAAAAAUAAUAAAAUUUAUACUUGAUGUAAUGUUGUUUAACAAAGUAAAUACUGUGUUCGUGUCAAAAUAUCAAAAAUUGACAGUUUAGUGACAGCAGUUCUACAACAAAAACAAAACUUGUCCUUAACACUAAAUGUAGCAGGUAUCUUUAGUUCUACAUCUCUCUGAAUAUGAUCUGUUGUUUUCAGUUUUUUAACUAAAACACGGAAGCUGUUUUUACCCAAUCCAUUUUCAGAUGUAUAAUGUAAGAUCUAUUAGUGAAUGGCAUUAGCGCCAGUUCAUACUCCAGACCAGAUGGUGGCGGUAUUGCACAUUUACAGGUUUUUGAAAAGCGCCAUAAAAAGAAGAAAAGCCAAGAAGCCAGAGAAGAUAACACACGCUGUUCAAAUUCGCCAUUUUUACUCGCAUAAUAUUGCCUUAAAAGUAGAGAGAGCCUUGAUAGUUUUGGUAAAUUAAAGCUGGUGACGUCCUAGCCCGAGUUAAAGACAACACAACAGGACAAGAACCGAUGGAAAUUAAAUGUGGGUCACGAAAGGAGCCCGACGGGACAAAGCAUGCUAACGUGUUGCUAGCUUGUGUCUAAGCAAAUGAAGAUGAAAGAGGAAGCCAGGGAUCAUCGAUUAGAAAACCUAAAGACUUUCCUGUCUCAGAAGAGGCUCUGGCUUCACCAGAUCACCAACCAGUUCUGAGGAUGAAGCUCCACAUCGUCUUCAUGGUGGAAGGAUUUUUUAAAACAUUUUUUUACUGAGCAGCUGGCCACAUUUUUAACAGCAAAAACUGGGCUCUGUGAUGGACAGGUGACCUGUCCAGGGUGAACCCCGCCUCUCAUCUGAUGACUGCUGGAGAUGGGCACCACCAGCCCCAAUCACCACCCUGCAAGGAUCAGCAUGUUCAGAUCAUGGAUGGAAAGAUUUUAAGGCAUCCGGUCCCAAUCAUCAUCAGUUCUAAUGAUGCCACAUACAUAGAGAGUCCACAACCUCUUAAAAUUGUUUCUGUGAAGUGCAGUGGUCCAGUGAAUGGGAAUGUUCUGUUGUUGAUCCUCACUGUUAGAAAGGAGAAAUGUCAGUUUUUCUGCAGUAAUCCAGGAAUACUGUGACAUUGAAUUAAAACAAUACUCUGUCCUUGGUGAAAUGUUUUUCACAUUUCCUCUAAAGUGUACCUAUUGUUUUAUUGUGCUAAUUUUCAUAAGAAUGUUAUCUGUAAACUUUGAAUAUAUUGACAAUUUGUACAAUUCUCUGAUAGUAUAUUGGCAAUGUACUCUUGAUAAAUGUGGGUAACACUUUAUUUGACGGGGUGUGAAUAAGACUGACAUUAUACUGUCAUAAACAUAACACCUGUUAGGAACAAACUAACAGGUGUAAUGAAGUUUCAUUCAGUAAAUAAUGACACUUUUAAUGAGAAGUUGCUUUAAAAGUUGGAUGACAAGUGUUAUGUCAGUCUUAUGCACACCCCAUCAAAUAAAUGUCACCAAAAUGGUAAUAUAUUGAAAGCACAAUGUCAUUAGUUUCACCUGGAAAGUGUGUUGUAAUUGAUCCUUCUGUUUUCUGGUAACCUGAUGUGUUUGCAGUACUGUAGUGUGAAUGAAGCAUGUAAAGUACAAAGUGGCAAAGCAGAAUAAUAAGACAUUAAGUAACUAAAAAUUGUACUUCAUUAGGAAUUAUAGUAAACCAAAAGUGUAAUUGUAGCAUAUUGUAAUCACUAAUAUAUAAAAUAUGUAAUGCCAAUAUACUGAAUAUACAUUCUAAGUAUAUUUUAAACAUAAUUCAAUCACAAAAAUUCACUCAAAAUAUACUAAUCAAGCACGUUUAUAUUACAUAAAAAGCAAAAUACUUAAAGUCUACUAAGUGUUCAGUUUUGUAGUGGAUGUCAUUUCUGUACCCAAUCCAAAGAGGUUUGGAGGCCAGAUAAACCAGUUUUUUCCCUUUG